rnacentral:rRNA from 1 species
UACAGAGGGUGCGAGCGUUAAUCGGAAUUACUGGGCGUAAAGGGCGCGUAGGCGGUUAUAUGAGUGUGAUGUGAAAGCCCCAGGCUUAACCUGGGAAGUGCAUCGCAAACGAUAUAGCUAGAGUAUAUGAGAGGGUGGCGGAAUUUCCGGUGUAGCGGUGAAAUGCGUAGAGAUCGGGAGGAACACCAGUGGCGAAGGCGACUACCUGGCCUGUUCUUGACGCUGAGGCGCGAAAGCUAGGGGAGCAAACGGG